rnacentral:ncRNA from 3 species
AGAAGAAGUGGAUUUAAAUGCUGGGCUUCAUGGAAACUGGACCUUGGAAAAUGCUAAAGCUCGUCUAAACCAAUAUUUUCAGAAAGAAAAGAUCCAAGGAGAAUAUAAGUACACCCAAGUGGGUCCUGAUCACAACAGGUGGAGGAGAAUGAGAUUGAGUGCUGACUUUAAGCCUGGCUGAGAAACAUACUGGCAUCGAUGUCAUUAAUGAAAGGGUGGAUGUUGUUCCCCUGAAAGCCAGUGGCCUUUGACCCCUGAAGCCGCUGUGCCUGAAGGAGCUUUAUUGCAGAAAUGACCAUUUAUAUCAAGCAGCUGG